GCCAGGAUGGUAUAGUGGUUUGAGCAUUGGACUAUGACUCUGGACACCAGGGUUUGAAUCCCAGUUUAGCUG